rnacentral:rRNA from 1 species
UACAGAGGGGGCAAGCGUUAUUCGGAAUUAUUGGGCGUAAAGGGCGCGUAGGCGGCUUUGCAAGUGACGGGUGAAAUCCCUCGGCUUAACCGAGGAACUGCCUGUCAGACUGCAUGGCUUGAGACCGGGAGAGGUGAGUGGAAUUCCCAGUGUAGCGGUGAAAUGCGUAGAUAUUGGGAGGAACACCGGUGGCGAAGGCGGCCCCCUGGACCGGUACUGACGCUGAGGCGCGAAAGCGUGGGUAGCAAACGGG